rnacentral:rRNA from 1 species
CGGGGUGAGUAAUGUCUGGGGAAACUGCCUGAUGGAGGGGGAUAACUGCUGGAAACGGUAGCUAAUACCGCAUAACGUCGCAAGACCAAAGAGGGGGACCUUCGGGCCUCUUGCCAUCGGAUGUGCCCAGAUGGGAUUAGCUAGUAGGUGGGGUAACGGCUCACCUAGGCGACGAUCCCUAGCUGGUCUGAGAGGAUGACCAGCCACACUGGAACUGAGACACGGUCCAG